rnacentral:rRNA from 1 species
AUUGAACGCUGGCGGCAGGCCUAACACAUGCAAGUCGAGCGGAUGAAGGGAGCUUGCUCCUGGAUUCAGCGGCGGACGGGUGAGUAAUGCCUAGGAAUCUGCCUGGUAGUGGGGGAUAACGUCCGGAAACGGGCGCUAAUACCGCAUACGUCCUGAGGGAGCAAGUGGGGGGUCUUCGGACCUCACGCUAUCAGAUGAGCCUAGGUCGGAUUAGCUAGUUGGUGGGGUAAAGGCCUACCAAGGCGACGAUCCGUAACUGGUCUGAGAGGAUGAUCAGUCACACUGGAACUGAGACACGGUCCAGACUCCUACGGGAGGCAGCAGUGGGGAAUAUUGGACAAUGGGCGAAAGCCUGAUCCAGCCAUGCCGCGUGUGUGAAGAAGGUCUUCGGAUUGUAAAGCACUUUAAGUUGGGAGGAAGGGCAGUAAGUUAAUACCUUGCUGUUUUGACGUUACCAACAGAAUAAGCACCGGCUAACUUCGUG